GACAGAGGGUGCAAACGUUGUUCGGAAUUACUGGGCGUAAAGCGUGUGUAGGCGGCCACGUAAGUCGGAUGUGAAAGCCCCAGGCUCAACCUGGGAAGUGCACUCGAUACUGCGUGGCUUGAGUAUCGGAGAGGUUGGUGGAAUUCUCGGUGUAGAGGUGAAAUUCGUAGAUAUCGAGAGGAACACCGGUGGCGAAGGCGGCCAACUGGACGAAUACUGACGCUGAGACACGAAAGCGUGGGGGCAAACAGG
rnacentral:rRNA from 1 species